rnacentral:rRNA from 1 species
CAGUCGAACGAUGAACCUCCUUCGGGAGGGGAUUAGUGGCGAACGGGUGAGUAACACGUGGGCAAUCUGCCCUGCACUCUGGGACAAGCCCUGGAAACGGGGUCUAAUACCGGAUAUGAGCUUCCACCGCAUGGUGGGGGCUGUAAAGCUCCGGCGGUGCAGGAUGAGCCCGCGGCCUAUCAGCUUGUUGGUGAGGUAACGGCUCACCAAGGCGACGACGGGUAGCCGGCCUGAGAGGGCGACCGGCCACACUGGGACUGAGACACGGCCCAGACUCCUACGGGAGGCAGCAGUGGGGAAUAUUGCACAAUGGGCGCAAGCCUGAUGCAGCGACGCCGCGUGAGGGAUGACGGCCUUCGGGUUGUAAACCUCUUUCAGCAGGGAAGAAGCGAGAGUGACGGUACCUGCAGAAGAAGCGCCGGCUAACUACGUGCCAGCAGCCGCGGUAAUACGUAGGGCGCAAGCGUUGUCCGGAAUUAUUGGGCGUAAAGAGCUCGUAGGCGGCUUGUCACGUCGGAUGUGAAAGCCCGGGGCUUAACCCCGGGUCUGCAUUCGAUACGGGCAGGCUAGAGUUCGGUAGGGGAGAUCGGAAUUCCUGGUGUAGCGGUGAAAUGCGCAGAUAUCAGGAGGAACACCGGUGGCGAAGGCGGA